rnacentral:rRNA from 1 species
UAGGGAAUAUUGCUUAAUGGGCGAAAGCCUGAAGCAGCAACGCCGCGUGUGUGAAGAAGGCCUUCGGGUUGUAAAACACUUUUUGAGGGGAUGAGGAAGGACAGUACCCUCAGAAUAAGCCUCGGCUAACUACGUGCCAGCAGCCGCGGUAAAACGUAGGAGGCGAGCGUUAUCCGGAUUUACUGGGCGUAAAGCGCGUGCAGGCGGCACGGCAAGUUGGAUGUGAAAGCUCCCGGCUUAACUGGGAGAGGUCGUUCAAAACUGCCGAGCUAGAGUGCGGGAGAGGGAGGUGGAAUUCCGGGUGUAGUGGUGAAAUGCGUAGAUAUCCGGAGGAAUACCAGUGGCGAAAGCGGCCUCCUGGUCCGCAACUGACGCGCAGACGCGAAAGCUAGGGUAGCAAACG